rnacentral:tRNA from 1 species
UAAUACAUUGCUUCAGUGAUAGAACAUUUACCUAGCAUGUACAAGGUCCUGGGUUCAAUUCCCAGUGCAGGAA